rnacentral:rRNA from 1 species
AUUGAACGCUGGCGGCAUGCCUUACACAUGCAAGUCGAACGACAGCAUGGAGGAGCUUGCUCCUCUGAUGGCGAGUGGCGAACGGGUGAGUAAAGCAUCGGAACGUGCCGUGUAGUGGGGGAUAACGUAGCGAAAGUUACGCUAAUACCGCAUACGCACCGAGGUGGAAAGCAGGGGAUCGCAAGACCUUGCGCUAUACGAGCGGCCGAUGUCAGAUUAGCUAGUUGGUAGGGUAAAGGCCUACCAAGGCGACGAUCUGUAGCGGGUCUGAGAGGAUGAUCCGCCACACUGGGACUGAGACACGGCCCAGACUCCUACGGGAGGCAGCAGUGGGGAAUUUUGGACAAUGGGGGAAACCCUGAUCCAGCCAUGCCGCGUGAGUGAAGAAGGCCUCGGUU